rnacentral:rRNA from 1 species
UACGACUACAUAUCAGGCAUAUCAAUAAGCGGAGGAAAAGAAACUAACAAGGAUUCCCUUAGUAACGGCGAGUGAAGCGGGAAGAGCUCAAAUUUGAAAUCUUCAAGGUUUUACCUUGACGAAUUGUAGUUUAAAGAAGUGUUUUCUGUUGAAGUUUUGGUAAAAGUUCUUUGGAAUAGGACAUCAUAGAGGGUGAGAAUCCCGUAUUUGACCAUUAUUUUCAGCUGUGUGAUACACUUUCAAAGAGUCGGAUUGUUUGGGAAUGCAGUCCAAAAUGGGUGGUAAAUUUCAUCUAAAGCUAAAUAUUGGCGAGAGACCGAUAGCGAACAAGUACCGUGAGGGAAAGAUGAAAAGAACUUUGAAAAGAGAGUUAAACAGUACGUGAAAUUGUCAAAAGGGAAGCGUUUGACACCAGUGUUGUUUUCUCGAAAAUCAAUUAAAAAAAGUUGGAUUUUGUGUUGUAUUGACUUUAUCAGCUUGCUUCACUCUUUUCAUUGUCUUUUUUAAUGCACUUUUCGUUUAACAAGUCAACAUCAGUUUCUUUUGUUGUAAAAGGAGUAUUCGGAAGGUGGCUUUCUUUCGGAGAAAGUGUUUAUAGCCUUUGCUCUCUGCAAUCGGAGAGAUUGAGGUCUGCAGCGUAGAUCCUUCGGGGUUAGAUACAUUUGUGCUAAGUUAUAGCCUUUCAUAGACAACUUGUUGACUAUGAUUCAGUCAUGUAGCUUACUCGCUUAUGCUAUUUUACCUACGCUUAGGAUGUUGAGCGCAUGUCUCUCUCU